rnacentral:lncRNA from 1 species
AUUUGUGAAUGUGAUAUGAGAUAUUGACAUGAGUUUGUUAGUUGUUUGCUAUGAGAAUUUUUAUGUGAAAGACUUACUGGGUACUUAAGGAAAGGGCGAACGAGCCUGGUACAUAAGAAAUCCUACCGUGAAUGUUAUUUCAGUCGGAUGGGGUUGGAAAGUCCCUUAUCGGGAGAUUAGAAGAUAUAGUUCAUGCUCAUACCGGAUGAGAUAUCGAGGCGAUGGAAUGUUUGGUGCCCAUUUCCGAACAAGGUAUAGGGACGGUCGGUUAAUUAUUAAAAUUGGAUAUUGGGUUCACGAGCAGAGCGGACACCUUUAUGGACCCCCAGGGGUACCAGUAAGUAGGUAAGAAAUAAAAAUUAUUAUUUCUCGUUCUCUUAUGUGUGAAAGUGAAAAGUGAUAUGGAUAUGGAUCUUCAUAUGUUAUUUUUAGAAAACUUGUUACCGU